rnacentral:rRNA from 1 species
AGCUCCAAUAGCGUAUAUUUAAGUUGUUGCAGUUAAAAAGCUCGUAGUUGGAUCUUGGGUCGUAAAGGUCGGUCCGCCUACUCGGUGUGCACCUGCCCUUCCAUCCCUUUUGUCGGCGGCGUGCUCCUGGCCUUAAUUGGCUGGGUCGCGGCUCCGGCGCUGUUACUUUGAAAAAAUUAGAGUGCUCAAAGCAAGCUUAUGCUCUGAAUACAUUAGCAUGGAAUAACGUGAUAGGAGUCUGGUCCUAUUGUGUUGGCCUUCGGGACCGGAGUAAUGAUUAAUAGGGACUGUCGGGGGCAUUCGUAUUUCAUUGUCAGAGGUGAAAUUCUUGGAUUUAUGAAAGACGGACCACUGCGAAAGCAUUUGCCAAGGAUGUUUUCAUUAAUCAAGAACGAAAGUA